GACGAACGCUGGCGGCGUGCUUAACACAUGCAAGUCGAACGGAAAGGCCCUGCUUUUGUGGGGUGCUCGAGUGGCGAACGGGUGAGUAACACGUGAGUAACCUGCCCUUGACUUUGGGAUAACUUCAGGAAACUGGGGCUAAUACCGGAUAGGAGCUCCUGCUGCAUGGUGGGGGUUGGAAAGUUUCGGCGGUUGGGGAUGGACUCGCGGCUUAUCAGCUUGUUUGUGGGGUAGUGGCUUACCAAGGCUUCGACGGGUAGCCGGCCUGACAGGGUGGCCGGCCCCAUUGGGACUGAGGUACGGCCCAGACUGCUACGGGAGGCAGCAGUGGGGAAUAUUGCGCAAUGGGCGGAAGCCUGAUGCAGCAACGCCGCGUGCGGGAUGACGGCCUUCGGGUUGUAAACCGCUUUCGCCGGUGACGAAGCGGGAGUGACGGUAAUGGGUAAAGAAGCACCGGCUAACUACGUG
rnacentral:rRNA from 1 species